rnacentral:rRNA from 1 species
UACAGAGGGUGCAAGCGUUAAUCGGAAUUACUGGGCGUAAAGGGUGCGUAGGCGGUUGAAUAAGUUAGGUGUGAAAGUCCUGGGCUUAACCUGGGGAUUGCGCCUAAUACUGUUUAGCUAGAGUACUGUAGAGGAAGGUGGAAUUUCCAGUGUAGCGGUGAAAUGCGUAGAUAUUGGAAGGAACAUCAGUGGCGAAGGCGACUUUCUGGACAGAUACUGACACUGAGGCACGAAAGCGUGGGGAGCGAACGGG